rnacentral:rRNA from 1 species
GACGAACGCUGGCGGCGCGCCUAACACAUGCAAGUCGAACGAGAGAGAGGAAGCUUGCUUCCCUAAUCGAGUGGCGAACGGGUGAGUAACGCGUGAGGAACCUGCCUCAAAGAGGGGGACAACAGUUGGAAACGACUGCUAAUACCGCAUAAGCCCACAGCUCGGCAUCGAGCAGAGGGAAAAGGAGUGAUCCGCUUUGAGAUGGCCUCGCGUCCGAUUAGCUAGUUGGUGGGGUAACGGCCUACCAAGGCGACGAUCAGUAGCCGACCUGAGAGGGUGACCGGCCACAUUGGGACUGAGACACGGCCCAA